rnacentral:rRNA from 1 species
UACAGAGGGUGCAAGCGUUAAUCGGAAUUACUGGGCGUAAAGCGUGCGUAGACGGUAGCGUAAGUCGGGUGUGAAAGCCCCGGGCUCAACCUGGGAAUUGCAUUCGAGACUGCAUGGCUAGGGUGCGGAAGAGGGAAGCGGAAUUUCCGGUGUAGCGGUGAAAUGCGUAGAUAUCGGAAGGAACACCAGUGGCGAAAGCGGCUUCCUGGUCCAGCACCGACGUUCAGGCACGAAAGCGUGGGGAGCAAACAGG